rnacentral:rRNA from 1 species
UAAGACGGAAGGGGCCAGCGUUGCUCGGAAUCACUGGGCAUAAAGAGCACGUAGGCGGGGACGUAAGUCAGGAGUGAAAUCCCUCGGCUUAACCGAGGAAUGGCUCUUGAUACUGCGUCUCUUGAGUGCGGGAGGGGAGAGUGGAAUUCCCGGUGGAGCGGUGAAAUGCGUAGAUAUCGGGAGGAACGCCGGUGGCGAAAGCGACUCUCUGGCCCGUGACUGACGCUGAGGUGCGAAAGCUAGGGGGGCAAACGGGAUUAGAUACCCCGGUAGUCCUAGCCCUAAACGAUGGGCACUGAGUAGGGGGAUUCCGAUGUCCUCUCUGCUGGAGCAAAUGCGUUAAGUGCCCCGCCUGGGGAGUAUGGUCGCAAGGCUG